rnacentral:rRNA from 1 species
AGAGACAGCAGCAGCCGCGGUAAGACAGAGGUCCCGAGCGUUGUUCUGAUUCAUUGGGCGUAAAGGGUGUGUAGGAGGCCAGGUAAGUCAGGUGUGAAAUCUCAGAGCUUAACUCUGAAACUGCGCUUGAUACUGCUUGGCUAGAGGAUCGGAGGGGGUAACGGAAUUUAUGGUGUAGCAGUGAAAUGCGUAGAUAUCAUAAGGAACACCGGUGGCGAAGGCGGUUACCUGGAAGAUUCCUGACUCUGAAACACGAAAGCCAGGGGAGCAAACGGGAUUAGAGACCCCGGUAGUCCCUGUCUCUUAUAC